UACAGAGGUGGCAAGCGUUGUUCGGAAUUACUGGGCGUAAAGGGCGCGUAGGCGGUCUUGUCAGUCCCUUGUGAAAUCCCCCGGCUCAACUGGGGAACUGCAAGGGAAACAGCAGGGCUUGAGUUCGGGAGAGGGAAGCGGAAUUCCGGGUGUAGCGGUGAAAUGCGUAGAUAUCUGGAGGAAUACCGGUGGCGAAGGCGGCAUCCUGGACCGGCAUUGACGCUGAUGAGCGAAAGCUAGGGGAGCAAACAGGG
rnacentral:rRNA from 1 species